AUCGGUAGCCGGACUGAGAGGUUGAACGGCCACAUUGGGACUGAGACACGGCCCAGACUCCUACGGGAGGCAGCAGUGGGGAAUAUUGCACAAUGGGGGAAACCCUGAUGCAGCGACGCCGCGUGGAGGAAGAAGGUCUUCGGAUUGUAAACUCCUGUUGUUGGGGAAGAUAAUGACGGUACCCAACAAGGAAGUGACGGCUAACUACGUGCCAGCAGCCGCGGUAAU
rnacentral:rRNA from 1 species